GUAUGCUUAAAUACUACUAAUUCUGGAAGUGUGAAUCUGGUUUUUCCUUGGUUCAUCCUUGACAUUAAAAAAAAGCAAGCCGGCUUUUUUUCACAUGUUUUUCAUAUGUGACUGUUACCACAUGGUCUUGUCUUUAGCUGUAUUAAAGUUUUUAAAUAUUAACUAUACAUUUAAAUGUUAUAUACUUUUACAUUGCAUUGGUUCAUGGAUAAGAUUUUUUACUAUGUACAACUUAUCUAUUGCUACAUGUCUUUUUAAGAUGAACUGAUGAUGUCUACUGAGCAGUAGACGAAACGUCUUCAAUAAAUAGAUGAAGUAGCCGAA
rnacentral:lncRNA from 1 species